rnacentral:rRNA from 1 species
UGCAAGUCGAACGGCAGCACAGCAGUAGCAAUACUGUGGGUGGCGAGUGGCGGACGGGUGAGGAAUGCAUCGGAAUCUGCCUAUUUGUGGGGGAUAACGUAGGGAAACUUACGCUAAUACCGCAUACGUCCUACGGGAGAAAGUGGGGGACCUUCGGGCCUCACGCAGAUAGAUGAGCCGAUGCCGGAUUAGCUAGUUGGCGGGGUAAAGGCCCACCAAGGCGACGAUCCGUAGCUGGUCUGAGAGGAUGAUCAGCCACACUGGAACUGAGACACGGUCCAGACUCCUACGGGAGGCAGCAGUGGGGAAUAUUGGACAAUGGGCGCAAGCCUGAUCCAGCCAUGCCGCGUGUGUGAAGAAGGCCUUCGGGUUGUAAAGCACUUUUGUCCGGAAAGAAAAGCUUCGGGUUAAUAACCCGGGGUUAUGACGGUACCGGAAGAAUAAGCACCGGCUAACUUCGUGCCAGCAGCCGCGGUAAUACGAAGGGUGCAAGCGUUACUCGGAAUUACUGGGCGUAAAGCGUGCGUAGGUGGUUUGUUAAGUCUGAUGUGAAAGCCCUGGGCUCAACCUGGGAACUGCAUUGGAAACUGGCUGACUAGAGUGCGGUAGAGGGGUGUGGAAUUCCCGGUGUAGCAGUGAAAUGCGUAGAUAUCGGGAGGAACAUCUGUGGCGAAGGCGACACCCUGGACCAGCACUGACACUGAGGCACGAAAGCGUGGGGAGCAAACAGGAUUAGAUACCCUGGUAGUCCACGCCCUAAACGAUGCGAACUGGAUGUUGGGGGCAACUUGGCCCUCAGUAUCGAAGCUAACGCGUUAAGUUCGCCGCCUGGGAAGUACGGUCGCAAGACUGAAACUCAAAGGAAUUGACGGGGGCCCGCACAAGCGGUGGAGUAUGUGGUUUAAUUCGAUGCAACGCGAAGAACCUUACCUGGCCUUGACAUGCACGGAACUUUCCA